GUCCCUGUACCGCAUUGGAUAGCGAGUUGGACUUCUAAUCCAAAAAGGUCGUGAGUCUGAAUCCUACUUGGGAUA